rnacentral:misc_RNA from 1 species
GAUGAAGAACGUAGCGAAAUGCGAUAAGUAAUGUGAAUUGCAGAAUUCAGUGAAUCAUCGAAUCUUUGAACGCACCUUGCGCCCUUUGGCUAUUCCGAAGGGCAUGCCUGUUUGAGUAUCAUGAACACCUCAACUCUCAUGGCUUGUCAUGACGAGCUUGGACUUUGGGGGUCUUGCUGGCCUGUGGUCAGCUCCUCUCAAAUGAAUUAGCUUGCCAGUGUUUGGUGGCAUCACGGGUGUGAUAACUAUCUACGCUUGUGGUCCUCCACCAGGUAACCUUCCAGUGAUGGGGGUUCGCUGGGGCUUAUAAAUGUCUCUCCUCAGUGAGGACAGCUCUUUGAACGUUUGAUCUCAAAUCAGGUAGGACUACCCGCUGAACUUAAGCAUAUCAAUAAGCGGAGGA